rnacentral:rRNA from 1 species
AAGUUCUCGUUUGGUG